UGGGGAAUAUUGGGCAAUGGGGGGAACCCUGACCCAGCAACGCCGCGUGAAGGAAGAAGGUUUUCGGAUUGUAAACUUCUGUCCUUGGUGAAGAGGAAGAGACGGUAGCCAAGGAGGAAGCGCCGGCUAACUUCGUGCCAGCAGCCGCGGUAAUACGAAGGGGGCUAGCGUUGUUCGGAAUUACUGGGCGUAAAGGGCGCGUAGGCGGCCCGAUCAGUCAGAAGUGAAAGCCCCGGGCUCAACCUGGGAACUGCUUUUGAUACUGUCGGGCUUGAGUUCCGGAGAGGAUGGUGGAAUUCCCAGUGUAGAGGUGAAAUUCGUAGAUAUUGGGAAGAACACCGGUGGCGAAGGCGGCCAUCUGGACGGACACUGACGCUGAGGCGCGAAAGCGUGGGGAGCAAACAGG
rnacentral:rRNA from 1 species